GUCGGUUUGAAGAACAGACAAAAUACAAAGUAGUUUACUAAAGCAGUUCUCAUUUCAGGUGUUGUAUAUUUAUCCCUUCUUUGAGUCUCUCCACUAAGCGCUAAGUAGUUUCUGUAAUAAAACCAUGUUCGCCGGAAGGCCAAAUUAAGGAAUAAAAAUGUCUAAUAAAAUGACUGGUUUAGUAAAAUGGUUUAAUGCUGAUAAGGGAUUCGGUUUUAUCUCUCCUGCUGAUGGUAGUAAAGAUGUGUUUGUACAUUUUUUCUGCUAUCCAGAGCGAUAAUUUCCGCACCUUGUUCGAAGGUCAAAAAGUUUCAUUCUCCAUUGAGAAUGGUGCUAAGGGUCCGGUUGCUGGCAAUGUAGCGAUCACAGAGUAAAAUCCUUUUUGUCUGUAUGCGAUAACGAUG
rnacentral:sRNA from 1 species